AGAGUUUUCCCCCGGCUCAAAACGAACGGAGGCGGCGUGCCUAACACAUGCAAGUCGUGGGGCAGCACGCCACUACCUCUAGGUAGUAGUGCUGGCGACCGGCAAACGGGUGAGUAACACGUAGCUUACCUACCCCAAGGUUGGGGAUAACCUCCCGAAAGGGUGGCUAAUACCCAAUAAUGAGGAAACUCCAAAGCCCAAAAGGCGCCUUGGGAUGGGGCUGCGUCCCAUCAGCUAGUUGGUGAGGUAAUGGCUCACCAAGGCUACUACUUGGUAACCGGUCUGAGAGGAUGACCGGUCACAGUGGGACUGAGACACGGCCCGCACCCCUACGGGGGGCAGCAGUGGGGAAUAUUGGGCAAUGGCCGAAAGGCUGACCCAGCAACGCCGCGUGGUGGACGAAGCCCUUCGGGGUGUAAACACCUUUUCUGGGGGAAGACAAUGACGGUACCCCAGGAAUAAGGGACGGCUAACUACGUGCCAGCAGCCGCGGUAAUACGUAGGUCCCAAACGUUGCGCGAAAUCACUGGGCGUAAAGGGUCCGUAGGCGGUCUGGCAAGUGGAAGGGGAAAUCCUACGGCUCAACCGUAGAAUUUGCCUUCCAAACUGCUGGACUUAAGGCAGGGAGAGGUCGGCGGAUUUCCCGGGGUAGCGGGGAAAUGCGUAAAUUUCGGGAGGAACACCAUUGGGCGAAAGGCGGGCCGAUGGAACUGUCCCUGCCCUGAAGGACAAAAGCUAGGGGAGCAAACCCGGAUUAGAUUACCCCGGUGAUCAAGGCCG
rnacentral:rRNA from 1 species